rnacentral:rRNA from 1 species
GGGGAAACCCUGAUGCAGCAACGCCGCGUGAGCGAAGAAGGCCUUCGGGUCGUAAAGCUCUGUCCUAAGGGAAGAAGUAUGACGGUACCUUAGGAGGAAGCCCCGGCUAACUACGUGCCAGCAGCCGCGGUAAUACGUAGGGGGCGAGCGUUAUCCGGAAUCACUGGGCGUAAAGGGUGCGUAGGCGGCCGAGUAAGCCAGAGGUGAAAGGCUACGGCUUAACCGUAGUAAGCCUUUGGAACUACUUGGCUUGAGUGCAGGAGAGGAGAGUGGAAUUCCUAGUGUAGCGGUGAAAUGCGUAGAUAUUAGGAGGAACACCAGUGGCGAAGGCGACUCUCUGGACUGUAACUGACGCUGAGGCACGAAAGCGUGGGGAGCAAACAGGAUUAGAUACCCUGGUAGUCCACGCCGUAAACGAUGAGUGCUAGGUGUCGGGGGUUCACACCCUCGGUGCCGGAGUUAACGCAAUAAGCACUCCGCCUGGGGAGUACGGUCGCAAGACUGAAACUCAAAGGAAUUGACGG